CUCAGGUCCCUGGUGGACUCUCCUGAAAAAGAGAAAUCGCCUCUAGAUGUGCUCCCCAAGCAGGGUGCGGGCCCGCGAUUGGCCGCAGAUAAUUGGGCUGUUGUCUGGGUCUCCGGGAAUGGGCUGUUUGGGAACAUUAGCGAAGGCCGCCGGCGCCUUGCAGGGCUGGGGCGCCUUGCAGGGCUGGGGCGUGUGGAGCUGUGGAAUAAACCAAGCAGGGGGUGGCGUGGUCAUCAGAAACUCCGCUGGGGCCCGGGGGCUGCCUCCGGUCCCCUGGGGUGGGGGGCACUGAGCACCAGCACUUCUAGAAGCCACUGGUCCUCUCUGGUUCCUUCCUUGCAGGAGCCCUCUGUCCCCAGACUGCUUCUCCGGUGGCCCCCACGGGGCGUACAGGACAGAACAGUGCAUUUCAAGAAGCUCCCCAAGACCCGGGUGCCCUCUGCACUCUGCGGCUUGAGCCCAUCCGUCGUCAUGAACCCCCGGGGUUUUCAUCUGAUGCUACCUUGCUGGGUUUGUUCAAGGAUGAAGGGAGAUGAGAUUUCUACAAGGGCACCUAGAAUGUUCAAUACAUGGUGUCCUUUCCGUCCUGUCCUUGUGAGGGACCCCCCCCUUGACAUGCCUCGUUUGCCCUGGUACCAGAUUCAAAGCACGUGAACUGCAGACUCCCCCUAGGCCCCUCCAGUGAGGGUGAGCCCCCGCCCCGGGCUCCAACACCACAAGACCUCCGUCAGAACAACAGCUAACGUUUCUUAAGUGUCCACAGGGCAUCAGGUGCCGUGUUGAGCACUCUCCCCCAUUAUCCCACAUCGCCCUCACAUCUACCCCAUUAGCCGAGCAUCGUUCAUACCCCACUUUAGAGACAAGGAGACAUGCUCAGAAACGCUGAGAUACUUCACCAGGUUUGCCCAAUGAUAGAGCUCAGCUUUGAAGGCCCAGACCCUCUGACCCCAGCUCCCAGAUCACGGCCGCCACACCUUCCCCGGAUGAUAGCUCCCACCUGCCAGGUCACUCUGUGCCUGAUCACACCUGAUUUUCUCCUUCAAGGCUCCUGCUACCCCCAGAAAAGGAGGAAUGAGUCUCUCUCUCUCUCUUCUCCUUCAGACCCACUUCACAGGUGAACACAUCAAGGCCCAGUGGGACACAGUCAUUGACUCCAUGCCCAGAGCUGCUAAAAGUUCGGAGAAGAGGCAAGUUGAGGAGGUGGAAGACAGGAAAGCAAGAGGCUGGGACUCUCUGUGCACGCAAGGAAGGUCUGGGGAAGAAGCCUGCUCAAAGAGAGGAAGCAGGCGAACACCAGCAGGAGAGAUCAGAGUGGUCCCAGCCCAGAAGCUGCAGCCAGUACUGUUCACCCCCUGCUGGAAUGAAGUGCUCAGAAUCCCCCUCGCCAACCGCCAACCUUUCCACAUGGGUAUGUGCGUCCCGGUCUUCUGGCUGCCCCAGCAGAGCAGAACCACGAAUGUCUGUUGUCUCCCUUUCCUAGGGCAAUGCCAGCCCCGAGGCAGGAAGAGGAGAAGGUGGCAGUGUUUCCUGAGCUCUCACUGUGCUAGGGACCUUGGUGUGCAUGACCCUGGGGCACAGCUGUCCCAGAUCAACCCUUGAUGCAGAUGCCCCCAUGCUGUUCUAGUUAAUAGGCAAGGAUACCCUGCUGCCCCAUUUCACCUGCUCCCCCAGACACAGCCAGUCACUGCCUCCCGGAACCUCUCACACCACAGGGGAGCUCCUCUCAGAAGCCAGAGCAGGGGGGCGGGCGAUGCAGCCAUCAAGAGAGCACAAGAGGCUUCUGCCAGAUCAGAGGGAAGGAUUCUGAGGCUCUUCCCACCGUUAACAUAAUGAGGGGGUAACCUGGUAUUUAAAUCCCGGCCAAAGAGGUAAAUCUGCAUUGUCAGCCUUCAACGUGAUUUACAAAAUAAUUUUAAAAUGCAUGAACCUUCUUCUUUCUAAAGCAUGAGGGUGCUAAGUUAACUUCUAAAUAUUUUAUCGCACAAGGUGAGCUGUUUUGCCUCGUGGCCAUCACUCACAGAGCAGAGAAGGGGGCGCGAGGUGCGGGAGAGCCCCUGAAGGCCCUCCGUCGUGGUCACUCAUGCAGGACAGUCUUGGGGGGAGCGGGGGGCGGGUUCUGUGGUUUAUUUUGCCUCUGGUCAUUUGAAUAGUGCUUUUGUUCACCAUCUUCAGAGAAAAUGACUGCUGUGGGCAAGCUGGGAGGUAUUUUCUAACUUGGUUCUUUAGAGCUCGCUGACUUUGAGGCUUUCCUGGGCAGGGAUCCCUGAAGGGCCAAGGAGAGCCUGCAGGCUGGGAGGGGUGGGGAACAACAACACCCCAGCAUCUUUGCUAUCUGAAAGAGAUGGCAGCUGGCCCCAGUGAGAGGCGAGGACAACCCAAGACUCAAUCCAUCUGGGAAGGAAAGAAAAUGCUACAUGCCAAAGACAAAGGCUUUUUCUCCCUUGUUGCUAACUUCCUACCGAAGGCUAGGGUCAAGCCUUGAUCCUGGAGCUAAAUGCUGAGUGCUGGUGUGCCCAAAUGAUUCUGAUCAGGAUCCUCGACAGCCAUGUGGGACUAUGAGUCUUGGUCAGAGCUCUACGGCAUGGAAGUCAACCCAUCUCUAAAUCUGUUCCUCCCCGUCACCAGAGGAGGUGUAUGGGUAGACGGUGACUGGGAUGUUGGUUCCAAAGACCCUUGAAUAUCACCUGCAACUGAAGGGGUAGACCAAGGCACCCUUCCCGGUGAGCGGAAUCAGAAUUUCUUGGAGAAAGAACACAGGAGCCUGCGUUUAUAAGUAACCUCCGCGGUGGUUCUCACGCACGCUGGAAUUUCAGAACUGCUGGGCUACGCUAAAGAUUCUGAACCCUAUGCGAACACUGCAAUUGUAGAGGGAACCUGUAGAACCCACCCCAGAGAUCUUGAUUUAUUCCAGUAGGAGGGUGGCAUGGAGAGCUUUAAAAGCGUCCCAGGUGAUGCUGGGGUGCAGCCAAGGCUGACCACCAACCACUGAGCUAGAGGAACAUCAGGCUUGUGGAUUUUAUUGUGUUUUAGUAUCUGCACUCAACUUGAACUUCUCUAAGUGAUGGAGUGCUCGCCGGGGUUCCGGGUACUUCAUUCCUGGACCGAUGGUUCCGAGAGACCUCGUUCCUGCAGCUGAACUGAGAUUUCACUCCAUCCUGACUUCACCUGCUGGUCCCGGCUGCCUUGAGAUCAGGUUGUCCCAGUGGACAAACGUAUGGGCGUGUGUCCGUCCAUAGAGUGGAUGAUGUCAGCAUCGUUCUUUCUUCUCCAGGGCCCUCACGCCUUCCCCCUCCACCACCCCACCUAGAAGCCAGUGCCCUCACCUCUUCCCCCUGCCUGAACACCCACCCUCCAGACAGUGUCUGCAAUGAGUCUGCUGCCCGCAAGCAUGAUGGCGUGAACUGAGGUAUGAGUGUUGAAUGUCAGAGACCUGGUUCCACUUGGCUCUUCCUCCAAGGACCUUGGACAAGACCUUUUCACUCUGGGUCUCCGAGUUCCCAGCUCUAAAACUAGUGGGGGUUCCACCUAAAUUAGUUCUUAGGACUCAUGUGGCUACUACAAUGUAAUCUGUGAAAAGAUUGAGGCAGGCAGGAGAAAGAGCUAACGGAGUUGGUCAG